GCGGAUGUAGCAAAGUGGAUCAACGUAGUGGAUUGUGAAUCCACCACGCGUGGGAUUGAAUCCCCAUGAUUCGCU